rnacentral:lncRNA from 1 species
AUUGCCUAUAUAAACAACAAGAACCGCUGCUUCUUCUUCGUACUCUUCAGUCUCCAUCGAAGCCUUUCCUAGCCUCCUCCCAUUUCUUCUAUUGCUUGUUCUUCAAUUCUGUUUCAGAUAAUCAAAAUUCCUUUAUUUUAUUUGUUUAAAUCUUGCUGAAUCACGCACGAUGCACCCCGGGCUUCUCUGAGAGUUCUCACUGAAGAUGAAAGCCCCAAUGCUCGUGCUAAAACGUCGCCGUUAAGUGUUGCAGUUUAGCUUUGCUCCCCACGGCUUUUCUGUGUCAAAUCGACGGCCAUAUCUCUCCCAAGCUUAGCCCUUUUUAUGAAUUUCAGUACUGUAUGUUACGCCUCGACACACCUUAAGCCUGUUUUUGAAGAUUCUCCGAAAACAGAGCUAGUCAUGGAGGCGCAAAGCGAUUGCGGUGUCAACGUGGGGGUUUAUCUGUUUUGAUGGUUUUGCCUCUAAAAACGUCCGCUAGAUUUUGUUCCCUUUAGAUCUCCAAAUUCAGUAUUUUUAAUUGAAUUUUGGCGAUGAUUACAAAUUAUCCGCGCUUCUGAGAGCAAUCUAUGAAGCAGAAUGUGAUAAUCAAUGGUUGAAUUUCUUGAUAUGAGCCAUGAUUUUCUUGUUAAUUUAUGUUUUGGGUUGUUGAAAAGUUUGCAUAUUUUUCAUAUCUGUUUUGGCAGUGAUGACUAAAUUUACAGCUUUAUGCCAGUUCUGCUUCAGAAAAUUCGUGAUCGAGAGAGCUGUUUCAUACUCUGAGCCUUCAGUUUAUAAAUUUGAUUUCUUUUGUGUUUUUUUUAAUGAUUUGAAGUUUGUGUUCAUGUGGCCUAUGAUGAUUCAAUCCGCUUGUUUGAGGUGUGGUGGAGCUGAGACCCUGUUUUCAGGGAGAACCCCUCGGCGAAGCCACAUUUCAUAUGACAUUAAUGGAUUUAGCUGAGGUUUCGGUCUAACUUAUUGCAUCCAAAUAAAAUGUUUUUGUGUCCGUUGCCUGAUCUGCCAUUUUAUGUUUUGAAAAUCUUCUUGUUACAGUUUUGAUUUGAAUAUUUUGUUGUUCUGACCUAGGAUGAUUGCAUCCGCUUGUUUGAGGUGUAGUGGAACUGAGACCCUGUUUUCAGGGAGAACCCCUCGGUGAAGCUACAUUUCAUAUGACAUCAAUGGAUUUAACUGAGGUUUUUAAUCUUAAUUAUUGCAUCAAAAUCCAGCGUUUGUGUGUUUGGUUUUUGUAUGAUAAGAUUAGGUGCUAAGAUUAGACCCUAGCAACAUGUUCUUUGUUUGUGUGUUUUAAAUCAAACACUGUUAAUGUUUGUUUUUCUUUCUUUUAUGUUUGAUUUUGAGUUUUAACUAUACCCUUGUCCUUAAUUCGAUUAGGUUUAGGGUCUGAAAAACUCAUAAAUUUUGGUGUUGUCUAUCAGCUUCAUCUCUUGUUACUGGUGGAGAAUGAAGUUAAACAACAACACUACAUCUAAUCGCUUUCAAGCUCUUUGUAUUUUGGAUUUAGGUGAAAAUCAUUUGAAACUUAAUCCGAUUUGAAUUUCUCCUGAAUAUGAAUGCGAAGAAUUUGGUAGGGUAACGUAAUAACUAUUUUAAAUCAAAUUUUCCAUGAAACGGGUUGCUGCUGGUAUUUACUAUUUUUUACCACUAAACAAAAACAUUUGGUUCUACAGAGUCUGAGAAAUCAAGGGGUAUAGCCGCGCGGCUAUACCCUCCUUCGAAUAUUGAAUGGUAGCCCUUAUUUAAUUACUAAUUAUAUUUCAAAUAUUAUUUAUUUAGUAGUAUUUAAAUAUUUUAAUUAAUUUCUUAAAUUAUUCAAUAUAUAGUAAUUGAUUAUUUAAAAUUUUCGUACAAAUUAGUUUGUUUAGUUUAAUAUUUGUAAUUCAGUAAUAUUUUAGUCUUAUUUAAUUAUUUUAAUCAGUAAUUAUUUUUAUAUAUUAUUUCUUUAGUGAAUAAUAAUAUUUAAAUAUAUUAAUUAAUUACUUCUUACCAUAUUUUUUCUACCUAGCAAGUUUCUUUGACGACGUUUGCUGUUAACUGUUCCCAAAGUAGAUGUGCAUCACUUUUAAUAUUAUAACUAAAAGCUGCCAUAGCCGCUUGCGGACACUUUUGUUUUACUAAAGAGUAUAGCCGCGCGGCUAUACUAGCCGUGUGGCUAUACUACCGGGUUCCCUUUUAGAUCGCCCAAAAAAAAGCGGCUAUGGCAAGAGGCUAUACUGUGUAAAUACAAUAUAUUUAAAGAGGAUAGCCGUUCGGCUAUACUGGCGUCCUUUUUGAAAAUUUUUUUUAAAAAUAAAUCAUAUAGCAGCGUAUGUACUUGGAUCUUUUUUUUUUUUUUUUUUUUUACAACUAUAAUUUUUUUUCAUGAUUUUUCUUCAAAAACCCUUUAAAUAGAAUAUUUUCAAAGUAUAGCUGGGCGGCUAUACGCUAUAAAUGGAAUAUUUAAAAGUAUAGUCGCUGCUAUACCCUUUAAAUUAGCAUGAUCUGAAAUUCUCUUUUGUAAUUACUUUAAUUAUCAAUUAUGUUUUAAUUAUUGUUUACUUAGUGAAUAAUUAGUGUUUGAAUAUUUUAUUAAAGAAUUUUUUUUAUAACAAGUUAGUUACUAUUUAUUAAGUAAUAUGAUUUAUGAAGUUAAUUAAAAUAUUUAAUACUAAUUAUUCAAUAAAGAAAUCAUAAUUAAAAUAUAAUUGUAGCUAACUAGAAAAUGACAAGUACACGUUGUAAUAGCUGUGUUAGUAUAUACUAAUCAUUGGUGCAAAUCACCAAUCAAUUCUGGCCCAUCAUCAUUGGAUGCAUAACCUAUUCCAAAUCUUAAUUAGUCGUAUAAUCGCUUUUUAUCUAUUUGUUAAGUUCAUGUGUCAUGUAUGCAGACUGUGAUCAGGGUUCUAUUUGUUAGAGGCCACUUUUCAUCCAUCAGAAACAGUUCAGAGAUUGGUUGAUGAUCUCCCAAAACCAAUUGGCAAUGGGAGGAGUAGCCCAACUCCUUAUAAACCCUUGCUAAGUUUCUCAACUUUCCAAUGUAGGAUUCUUUACCUUCACAUUCUCACACUCCUCACGAAAGUAGUUGCUCGACCAGAAUUACCAUUCUACAUAUGUAUGCAGAGUGAAUCAAAAUAUUGAAUUUUCCAUACAUGAUUAUGCAAUAGAUUCUAACAUUUACUUAUGCAGAUGCUGCUCCUCCUAAGAAGCAGAUAAAAGACACGUCACAGGAUUUUUACUCUGCUGGCUUUGUUCCUAGUGUAAUUG